GAGGAUGAUGAGAGGCCACCCAAGCGAUAAGCUAUGGUCCUCUUUCCUCGGGUUGGAGCCGACCCUUGACACAUAGGUCAAUCUCUCUCUCCCUCUCUUAUACCCUCCCUCCCUCCGUCUUACCUCUUUCUAGAAAGAAGGAUACAUGGAUGCUGUUCCGAUUUCCUGCAAUAUCAUGUUGCACUAGGGAAAAAGAUCUCGGAAAUGCAUAGCUUAUCUGGGUUUUCGAAUCUGUUGAGACUUUAGUCUAGUUGUGGUGUGAGAUACGAUGUUAGAUAAACUUUAAUUACUUUGUUUUUAGGUUUAUUUCCUAUUUGUAGGUUGGAUGAUUUUUAAGAUAUUUGUGGAUUUAUCUAUUUUUUGGCUGUUUGGAGAUGACAUUGAUGUUUCUUUCUUGCUGCCAUUAGAAUGUUGUUGCUGAUGAUAAUGGUGAUGAUCGUUCAUGUCCAUUCAGUUUCCUAGCAUUUUCCUAGGAUAGAAAAUUUAAAUUUUUAUGGAAAAUUUUGGAAAGUAAGCUGUUUGGGGAUCCGUGGCUGUUAAGUCAUAUCGGGGUUGGGCCAAUAUCUAAAUAGCUAUGGAAGGCGUUAAUUAGUGUGCUCUUUGCCAUUUUACAUUUCACACCACAUGAUUAACAUAUUACGGAGGGUGUGUUUUGGAUUAUUUUCAUUUUUUGUUUCUAAUUUUGAUAAAAGAGUAUAUAACUUAAAGAAAAAAUAGUACAAUUUAUUAAUUAUUUUUUUUUUGCCGCUCAAGAAAUUUUAUAACUCAAAAAAAAAUUAUAUAUAAAUAUUUUUUUUUAAAAAAAAAAAUUAAUCAUGUGUAUAUGUGCACGCUUAUAUUUAUUCUCUCUGAAAAAAAUAAUCACGUGUGUAUCUGUUUGUGCAUGUUUAUGUUUAUUUCCUCUAUUAAUUUUGAAGAGGACUCUAACGGGUGGUUUGUUAAGGUUGAGUCGAGUAGUAGGAGUUGGGUGGCCGCGGAGGGUGGGGGAGAGGUGGGAGAUGGGUAUGGGUGGUGAUGACGAUUGGCGAUAGUAGGUGGUGGUGAUGGUGAACUUUUGGCAUAGGUGAGUGUAUUGAGAAGCUAUGUGUAAACUGAAAUCAAUGCGAAUUAUAUUUAUUAGCUAACAUGUAGAAAUGAUAAAAUGGAGAUUUCUAUAAACUAAAUCGCUAGAUUCAGCAAAACCCGUUAGUCAAUGAACAUCUGACGGAAGAGGCAUUUUAAAUACAAACCAGAAGGGGUAGAGUCUAAUUUUAGAAAAAAUAGGAUAGGUCCUUGGCAUUGUCAUAAAUUUUAGGGGAGGUAAGUGUAAUUUACUUUUUUUUAGGUGCUUAAUUUUUUAGUUUUUUCAACUAAUGUUUUUUAAUCGUGCGAAAAAUUUUAUAAAUUUUUUAUUCUUGGUUUGAAAAUUUGAAUUUUUUUAUUUAAUUUGAUUUUUUUUUAUAAUAAAGACAGUGAAUGUUUUAUAAACGUGUGAUUAAAAUUUUACACAUUUUUUGUUUCUUGGUUUGAAAAUUUAAAAAGUUUAUUUAAUUUGAAAAAUAAAUAAUAAAGACAAAAAAAAAUUAUAAUCAACAAAUCAUCUAUUUUUUUCGUAUUUAUUGGAUUUUUUUGAAUUUAAAUAAAAUUUUUUUUAUUUUUAAUUUCUCUCAUUGAGAGAAAUCAGAAAAGUAUAAAUUUUUUACUAAAUGGUGAAAGAAAUUGACUACAACGAAAACAUAAAAAUCCAAAGCAGUUAAAAAAAAAACUAUGGCGCCUUGGACUUAAUUUGAUCUUCAUUUCUUAGUGCCGAGUCACCAUUUGUGACUCCGUUGAAAUCGUUAGAGCCUCUGAGACAAGCUGGAGAAAGUGUAAAAAUUUUAUAUAUUAAUUAAAAUAUAUAAAAUUUAUUUAAAAUAAUAAAGGGUGUCUCGCUUCAAUUCUUUUGUCAUAAACAUUGUUCUUUUAACAUGGUUUCAGAGAGAAUAGAGUAGGGGAACAAACGAUUGAAAUUCAAUUCUUGUAACUCAAUCUUCAACUUCAAUCUCUUGCUAAUUAUAAUGUUGUUUUUUUUUCGAUUUCUUUCUUCGUGGCAAAUUGAAGAAAUAAAAAAAGAAAUGAACCAAUAACUAAAAACAAUAUAUCGAGAAAGGGAAAAAAAACUUAAAAAAUGGGACCCAAACACCCUUCAAGAUACCCUAGCACCCCGUUUGGCAACAGGAGAAGCUCCCGGAUUUGGGUGUGUCCGGAUUUCUUCUCUAUCUGAGGCGCUUCUCUCGUAUUUGGCGUGAAACUUUCUCUCCCUCAUUUCUUCUCCGGUCUCCUUCGAAAUCCCGUCCGUGGUCACGCGGUGCUCCGCGUGGUGGUGAAAAACAGUUGUGCCCUCGCAGCCUCGCCGUCUCUCUCUACUGAACAAUCAAAAUAAAUGGAGAAGAAGACUGUAUCUUGGGCUGGGCUAGAAUUAGGGAAACAAUUAGGCUUGGCUGGAAUUGGGCUGGAAAGUGGCCUUGUCUUGAGCUUGGUUGUGAUACAUGUAGGCCUUGUCUUGUUGGAAAUUACUGUGACAAAAAUUGUGGAUGAAUUACACAGAUCUCCCCUCAACAAUUGGUUUAAUACAUGGACCCCUCAACAUUUGUUUUAAUGCAAUUGAACCCUAUCUUAAUACAAAAUCACACAUUAAGUUCAUCACACAAAAAAUCACUAUGCUAAGAGUACGUUUUUAUCGAGUACACAUUUUUUUUUGAUUAAAAUUACACGAAAGAAAAAAAUUAGGCUUAUUUAUCGAAUACACGUUUUUUUAAUUAAUGGUAAGAUUAUUGUAGCUACAGAAAAAAAAUCACAAUAAAUUAAUACAUAUAAUUAUAUUAGUUUCUAAAUUUAUAGAAUUAUAUAUUUAUUUCUACAUUUUUAUAUUAGAUUAGUAUAUUUUUUAAUAUAGAAUUAUAUAUUGCUAAAUUAUCAUAUUAUGAUUUUAAAGUGAAUAGUUUAUUUUAAAUUUUAAUAUAUUAAUUAAUAUAUAUUAUAUAUCUAUCCUAUAAUAUACUAUAUAUAAUAAUAUAAUAUUAUUUAGUUAAUUACACGAAUUAUAUUUCAUAUUAACAACUAUUAAUUAAAGUGUGGGUAAUUUUGUCCUUUUACAUCUUAUUCCAGUAUAUCCACCUUCUAAAUCCCCUUACCUCAAAAUACAUCCAAACACCAAACUAUAAAUCCACCCUUCUUAAAAGGUGGACCCCUCUUAUUAUAAAUCAUCCCUCAUUUCAAAUCCACCCUCAUUCUAAAUCUGCCCAAAUUAUCUCCUGCUACCAAACAUGCUGUAAUAGUUUUAACUAGGAGCUACCUGAGCAAAUAAAGCCAUCGUAGUUGUUUGGGUAAGACAAUGGGGGUUUUCUAAACGCGGGUAUCUAUUUCAUUGAGAUUUGUAAGGCCAUUGCUAAGCUGCCAAAUUCUUUAACCUUUUUUUCUAUCAAAUUUUUAAUUCAAACAGAACCUAAAAUAAAUUUAAAUUUUUAAUUUAAGAGUGUUUAAGAAAGACCCCGUAAUUAUGUUUUAAAUUGCGGAAAAAGCCUCUUGGAGGAUCCCCACCGUCAAUAUUCUAAAACUUUUGGUUGGUUGAUGACUCUCUAACCGUUCCUCUCCUCUCCUUUGAUAUAAGGGUCGUCAAUUGAUCGGGUUGGGCCAGUCCAAUUCAAUUUUUGUCGAAUUGGACUGUGCUCGAUGGGCUUUGACUGAUAACGGGCUAUUGGACCCGCCUAUGAGCCAAAAAUAUGAAACCGAAGCCCUAUUCACGGGCCUUAAUUUUUUUAAAUAUAUUUUAUUCUAAAUUAAAAGACUAAAAGUAUCAAAAAUAAAAAAAUUAAUUCGUAAUUACUUAAAAUCAUCAAUAGAUAUUAAUUCUUUAUAUAUAAAAUAUAAAAUAUUAUAAAAAAUUAAUGUUUUCGAGGUAGGUCAUAGGCCUGACCUUGGGUCAACUCAUGGGCUUCAAAAUUUGACCCAAACCCAGUCCAUACUAUCCUGGGUUUGGGCCGAACUUGAGCUCUUUGGGCCAUGAGUCGGAUCGGGACCAAGACAGACUAUGGACUGUAGGCUUUUUAACGACCCUUGUAUGUGAUAUGCUUUUCGAGAGAGUUGACUGAUUAGUCUCACACCCCCAACCUAAUUAGACAUAAUUAAUGCAAAUUAGAUGUGAUGUGAUCGCACAGGUCACCAUACUUGCGAACGACUCUUGAUAUUCUCCACAUACUCCAAUGAAUAACAAUGAUAUUAUUAAAAUAUUAUCUGAAAAUUAAAACCCAAUUAUUAUAAGAUUAACAUAUAUCCUACCCUAACAAGAACUAUCCUCUGUAAAAUAUAAGACAUUUAUACAACAACUUAAAACAAAACAAACCAAAACUGUAUAAGGCGGACUAUCUCAAAUUCUGCCCAACCACAUCCCCCAACUCAACCAGGAAAGCCACCACAGCUCAGACAUGACCACAAUGAACCACACAGCUAUCCAUAUCUCCUCACAUGACAAAACAAUCUGUGUGGUUGUUGAGGUAAAUAUCACGUGCUCACAAUAGAUAAUCAACUUAUAAAAAAUCAUAUAUAAAAGUCACCUUAGAUAUCCAAAAAUAGAUAUCAACAUGAGUUAAAGAUCAACAUGAUCACGAUUUAAGAUAAUCAAAACUAUAUGAAAUGAUAUAGAAACACCAUCAGCAUUAGUAUUCAGUAUGAAUAAUGUCAAUGCAUAAUGCCUCCCCCACAUGUGCGCGCAAAAUUAGAAACGUUGGCCCAAAAGAUCGACGGCUCGUUAUCAAGAAUUCCCCUACUGGUCACAUCCCUAAGGAAUGCCCUACCGGUCACAUCCUAGGCAAAGUCCCUAAAACUAAGCCUUCUCAGUUGCAAUGCAAACACACAGAUACAUGAUAGCAUUGCACUUCACCUAUGAGAUAUAAUCAUCAUCCUCAAUCGUAUAAAAAGCACGCAAUUCAAUAUGAAUAAGAUGAUCAUAGAUUUUAUUUUUCACCUGCCACUUCAUAUGUAUA
rnacentral:lncRNA from 1 species